CGCGGUCCGCUGCCGUAAGUCGGGUCCGGGCGUGGAGAGCCCAGUCCGGGCCGGGGCAGCUGCUCGGGUCCAGGGCGGGGAGGGGCCGUGGGGGAAGGGGCGGCGGGGUGGGGCGGGGCCGGGACGCCGCGGCCCGCCCCGGGGAAACCCGGCGCUCUCCCACCGGGCUCCGGCCACAUUGUUACCCUCUGCGCGGCCCAGGCGGGGCCGGUCCGGGACGGCCCGAGCUCCCGGUUCGCGGGGCCUCCCCCGCAGAGAGCGUCUCCGGCGAAUGAAGUUCCCAUCCUUAGGCAGGUCCGUGUUUCACCCUCGGACAGCCCCACACACCUCUCUCUCUUCGGCUGUAGCUGACGCCGUAUCCAGUGGUUGCUGUUGGGACGCCCCCAGCUGGAGCACAGAGCCUGAGAGCCCAGGAGUCCAGAGGCUGCAGGCAGAGAGCGCAGAGCCCAGCUGGCGAAGCGGCCAAGGUCAGACCACAGGCGGCCAGCGGGGCCCUGGCAGGACGCUGGGCCUCCCCGGAAGCGAGGAGAACGGUGCCAUCGGGUAUGUCGUUAGGGAGCUCCCUGGCUUCAAGGAGGUGGGGGUUGGUGGCAGAGAACUGAACUAAGAGGUGAGAUUUCGCUGGACCUCAAGGUCAAAGCCCAGAGGCGUCUUGAGAUGCCCUGAAGGUGCAGAGAGGCCACUAGGAGGCCAGGAGAGACAGCCUGGGCUGGGGGGCGGCCAGUGUCAGGCCCUGCUGCCCAGCCUCCCCCGACCCUGGACCAGCAGGGGACGAGCUGGGAGCAGAGGCAGCCGGCCCACCGCGGUGCAAAGUCGAAGGCAGAUGAGGCUGUCCAGGGUCCCCACGAGAGCCGCCGUUGCGCUGUUGCUGCUGGUGGUCUCAGAAGGGAGAGGCGUGCUCGUGCCGAAGGCUGCUAUGCAGGGGUCAGGAGAGAGGCCGAGGGCGGGUGACCGUGGCGAAG
rnacentral:lncRNA from 1 species